AUUGAACGCUGGCGGCAGGCCUAACACAUGCAAGUCGAGCGAGCGGCGGACGGGUGAGUAAUGUAUGGGGACUGCCCGAUAGAGGGGGAUAACUACUGGAAACGGUAGCUAAUAACGCAUACUAUCGGAUAACCCAUAGGGGCAUAGCUAGUGGGUGGGGUAAUGGCUCACCUAGGCGACGAUCCCUAGCAGGUCUGAGAGGUUGAUCAGCCACACUGGAACGGGGACACGGCCCAGACUCCUACGGAGGCAGCAGUGGGGAAUAUUGCACAAUGGGCGCAAGCCUGAUGCAGCCAUGCCUCGUGUAUGAAGAAGGCCCUAGGGUUGUAAAGUACUUUCAGUCGGGAGGCGUUACCGACAGAAGAAGCACCGGCUAACUCCGUGCCAGCAGCCGCGGUAAUUC
rnacentral:rRNA from 1 species